rnacentral:rRNA from 1 species
AUUGAACGCUGGCGGCAUGCCUUACACAUGCAAGUCGAACGGCAGCACGGGUGCUUGCACCUGGUGGCGAGUGGCGAACGGGUGAGUAAUACAUCGGAACAUGUCCUUUAGUGGGGGAUAGCCCGGCGAAAGCCGGAUUAAUACCGCAUACGAUCUACGGAUGAAAGCGGGGGACCUUCGGGCCUCGCGCUAUAGGGUUGGCCGAUGGCUGAUUAGCUAGUUGGUGGGGUAAAGGCCUACCAAGGCGACGAUCAGUAGCUGGUCUGAGAGGACGACCAGCCACACUGGGACUGAGACACGGCCCAGACUCCUACGGGAGGCAGCAGUGGGGAAUUUUGGACAAUGGGCGAAAGCCUGAUCCAGCAAUGCCGCGUGUGUGAAGAAGGCCUUCGGGUUGUAAAGCACUUUUGCCCGGAAAGAAAUCCUUGGCCCUAAUACGGUCGGGGGAUGACGGUACCGGAAGAAUAAGCACCGGCUAACUACGUG